rnacentral:tmRNA from 2 species
GGGGAUGACAGGUUUCGACAGCGUGAUACUAAUUGUUGAUCGUCUCUGUUCGGGAUGGCAACGAUUUCCGUUAUCCAACGUUGCAAAAAUUAAUUGCAGACAAUCUUGUCAGCAAAGCCAAUCGUAUCGCUGAGGAUGUCAUGGCUCGUUUGAGCCUUGCUCCGCAGUUCGCGAUGGCUGCUUAGUUUCCCUUCAACCGGAAACACGUCUCACCCUCGAUUCUCGCUAGUGGGAUGAGACGUCAUCAGCGAGACGGAUGCAGUAUCUGAUGUCGUACUACACUGAUUCUUAGGCAUUAUCCCUCGCACAUUUUCUUUGUUCCUUCCUUAUUUGUGCGAGUAUGAAAGGAGCACAACAGUACAGACACGGCGGUUACACGUUGGACCCGGAUUCAAUUUCCGGCAUCUCCACCA